rnacentral:rRNA from 1 species
CUAAUUGCAAUGAUGGAAUGAUGAUCUUGCUAAUAUAUUCAUAUUAAAUUAAAUAUAAAUUAAUAAAUUAAAUAACUUAAAAAGGACAACUAAACGCUUCAACAGGACAAGGCUUUCCCCCCU